rnacentral:rRNA from 1 species
AACGAACGCUGGCGGCGUGCCUAACACAUGCAAGUCGUGCGAGAAAGUUCCUUCGGGAGCGAGUAAAGCGGCGCACGGGUGAGUAACACGUAGGUAACCUGCCCCCCAGUCUGGAACAACUAGAGGAAACUCUAGCUAAUGCCGGAUGAGACCACGAUCCCUUCGGGGGUUGCGGCCAAAGAUGGCCUCUACUUGUAAGCUAUCGCUGAGGGAUGGGCCUGCGGGCCAUUAGCUUGUUGGUGAGGUAACGGCUCACCAAGGCUGUGAUGGCUAGCUGGUCUGAGAGGAUGACCAGCCACACUGGGACUGAGACACGGCCCAGACUCCUACGGAGGCAGCAGUGGGAAUAUUGCGCAAUGGGCGAAAGCCUGAUGCAGCGACGCCGCGUGGGUGAUGAAGGCC